ACAAAACAGUAUUACUAUUCCGCGUGGGAAGAGGUUGAUUUUUUUUUAUUGAUUAAAUAGAAAAAUGAAUUGUUUAAAGUGACAAUGAAAAUAACUGUUUAAAUUUUAACAUGUGGGAAAUAAAAUUGAAGACUUGAAAAGUCUGGGAGUACGAAGGAAAUAAAAUUCCUGUUCCUAAAAUAUGAUCGAUGUUAAUGUUUUGCAUUUAGCAUUAUGCAUCCAGCGGCUCUGGUACCUUCGUUAAGUACAUACAUUUGUAUGUCAUGGCAAUGACAAUAAUGCGGCAAAGCUGGUUGACGCUCCAACAAGAGUAAAUGGAGAUAUACAAAGGCAGAAAAGAGCACGUCCUGAUUUCCUUUAUACUACAAUGACAUCGUGCAUUAUUUAUCUAAAAACAGAAUUACGACGCCAUCAUAAAUACAAUUAUAAUGAAAAUUAUAUGUAUGCGUAGAUAAAAAGUGGAAUAAAAUAUAAAUAUUUUGAGAAAUAAAA